AUGUGACGUUUUGGGUAUAGUUUGGCAGACAAGAGCAUUAUCUUUGCAUGGCAUUGCAUGCAUGUGUGUGUGCAAAUUAAUAAAGCGUGUUUUAUCGUUGUGUUUUCCAUUCAGGUUUUUGAGUUGAUUGAAUCAUAGAUUGAAGAGUUAGAGAGAUAGGAAACGGAGUGGUGCACGUGAUGAUUUUACAUUGAAUCUGCAGUGGAGCCUCGAAAAUUAUCCGCGUUACUCCCUAUGAACGAGGCUAUUAAGCACAUUUUUGCCGGGUAACUCCCAAAGCUGUGUUUCCUCGAGAAAUCAUCUCUUUCAGCAACUUAUAACACGCCUAGUCCAUGAGCCACGUGUAGUACUUGCUAAUGACUGACCACACCCAGUAAAAACAGACUUUCCAAUAAAGUUAUAUGUUCCCAAGGCUGUUUUAGAGCUAUUGGAACAUGUAACGUGUAAGCGUGCUGGUUAUGACUACUACAAUAGGUAUAGACCUUGAAAUAUAAGGUUGGAUAAUGAAUACCUGGACGACUGGGAUAGGGGGAAAAAUCUGUUUCUAUAGCCGUAAGGAGCUUAAGACGCUGUAGUGAUGCCACAAGGACUGAAGUUUACAGUCAGUCAAAUCAUUCAUUGACAUGGUAGGGGACCUGUUCAUCCUCCCUGGCGCAAGUGCCUUUCUGAGUGAUCUGAGCG